UUGACCUUAGCUCAAUUGGUAGAGCGGAGGACUGUAGUGGUUAGUAGCCGUUUGAGAUCCUUAGGUCGCUGGUUCGAAUCCGACAUGUUGGA
rnacentral:tRNA from 1 species